AUUGAACGCUGGCGGCAGGCCUAACACAUGCAAGUCGAGCGAGCGGCGGACGGGUGAGUAAUGUCUGGGAAACUGUCUGAUGGAGGGGGAUAACUACUGGAAACGGUAGCUAAUACCGCAUACCAUCAGAUGUGCCCAGAUGGGAUUAGCUAGUAGGUGGGGUAAUGGCCUACCUAGGCGACGAUCCCUAGCUGGUCUGAGAGGAUGACCAGCGACACGGGAACUGAGACACGGUCCAUGCGCCUACGGGAGGCAGCAGUGGGGAAUAUUGCACAGUGGGCGCAAGCAUUAUGCAGCCAUGCCGCGUGUGUGAAGGAGGCCUUCGGGUUGUAAAGCACUUUCAGCGGGGAGGCGUUACCCGCAUAAGAAGCACCGGCUAACUCCGUGCCAGCAGCCGCGGUAAUUC
rnacentral:rRNA from 1 species